UACGGAGGGUGCGAGCGUUGUUCGGAAUCACUGGGCGUAAAGGGAGCGUAGGCGGCGUGGUAAGUCAGAUGUGAAAUCCCGGGGCUCAACCCCCGGAACUGCAUCCGAUACUGCCAUGCUAGAGGAUUGGAGAGGUAGCUGGAAUUCUUGGUGUAGCAGUGAAAUGCGUAGAGAUCAAGAGGAACACUCGUGGCGAAAGCGAGCUACUGGACAAUUCCUGACGCUGAGGCUCGAAGGCUAGGGUAGCGAAAGGG
rnacentral:rRNA from 1 species